CAGAAUAACGUGGAGGGCUCAUUAAAACGCACUUUUUUGGGCUCCACUUCUACAGUUGUUGCUUCAGCAGCCCUGGGGUGGGCCCUGGGAAUCUGCAUUUCUAACAAGUUCCCAGGUGCCGCUCCUGGUGCCGGUUGGACUCAACUUUGAGAACCACUGGUCUGAGGUCAAGGAUGGUCUUUGAAAUCACAGAUAGAUCUUUAUUAAUUUGUUAUUUAUCAAGCCAUUAACCUCUCUGAAUCUCAGUUUCUUCAUCUGUAAAAUGGGGUUAAUGACAACCUGGUCAGACUGUUUGAAGAUUCAGCAGAUGAAGUCUGUGAAAAUUCCUGGAACAGGCCAUUGUUCAUCAGUGUCGGGGAAGGACGUCCAGAUGGGAUAUUCCUGGCUCCCAGUGGCUCGCCCUUGCUUCCAAUCUCUGUUUUCCAAAUUGGGACUAUCAGGUAAAGAUUUAAGUGUGAGAAACAGCGUGAUGUCAGCAGAGGGGAGAAAUGAAACUAGAUGUAAUGAAAGUAACUAGGCCCUUGACUUCUUGGCUGAUGCCUGCCCGUGUUGGGGAGGACCGUCUGCUCUGCUAGAAUCUGUGCAUGCUCACCCUCCACCCAAGCCGCUCUAGGUGUCUACUCCUGCUCCCCCUUCAGAGUUCUCAACUGUCCUGGGGGAAGCCUCCGUUGACCCCUGAAGUUAGGUCAGAGGCCCUGUUCUGUGAAUCCCUUGACCCUGGACUCCUCUGGCGUCAUCGCAAAGAAAGAUCUUUCUUUCACUAAGCGAAAGAAGCCAAAUUGAAAAAGCUACAUACUAUAUGAUUCCAACUAUAAGACAUUCUGAAAAAGGCAAAACUAU
rnacentral:lncRNA from 1 species